AUGAAUGAAUUUAUAAAAUUAAAGCUUUAUUUUUUAUAUCAGUAAAAUUUAAUAUUUAAGUGAAGAAGCUUAAAUUUUAUUAAAAGACAAGAAGACCCUAAUGAUUUUUAUUUUUAUACUAUAUAUAUAAAGUUUUAAAUUAUUUUAUAAAAUAUAUAAAAUUUUACUGGGGCGGUAAUAAAAUAAUAAUAAACUUUUAUAUAAAUAUGAUAUAUAUCUWUUUUAUGAUCCUAAAAAGAUUAAAA
rnacentral:rRNA from 1 species